AACUCCAUUUCCUCUGUAACUCAAAAUGGUCUUCAACCUGCAUAAUGUUUGCUUCACUUCUAACUACCAAUCUCUUGUCAUGAACAUAACAACACACCAACAAACUUCCAAACAACAACCAUAUCAUUACAUCACAAGAAUCCAAUAAAUGCAAGAAUACACAUAGAGACAACAUCAAUGAAAAUUCACUUGAUUCAUAGAGAACUCAUCAUAAUAUCACCUACCUUACUAUCAAUUCCAAGAUCCAUCAACC
rnacentral:lncRNA from 1 species